AUCUCUCUUCUCAAUCGGACCGGUCAUGCCCGAUUCAGACGCGGACCGGUUCAGUCUUCCUCUUCUUCACUUUCCUUGUCAUCCGCACCGACUGGGUCAGCCUCUCGCUCCCAAAAUUUAAACCAAACGCCGAGUCAUGUUACGGCUCCGGCUACUGUACACCAGGCACCUGUCGUCCAUUCGGUUACAGCUCCUCAGGUUCCGAUCGCGGCACCGACAAGCUUUGUUCAGUCACAGCCGCAGAGUUUGACUCUGGACUUCACAAAACCUAGCAUAUUUAGCUCUAAUGGUA
rnacentral:misc_RNA from 1 species